GAUGAACGCUAGCGGCAGGCCUAAUACGUGCAAGUCGAGGGGCAUCGCAGGUAGCAAUACUGGGCGGCGACCGGCAAACGGGUGCGGAACACGUACGUAACCUUCCUCUAAAUGGAGCAUAGCCCGAAGAAAUUCGGAUUAAUACUCCAUAAGAUUGUGGAGUGGCAUCACUCAGCAAUUAAAGAAUUUCGUUAGAGAUG
rnacentral:rRNA from 1 species